ensembl:lncRNA
GGACCCCUGAUCUUGUGGCGUGCCACCGCGCGAGGCCGAGGAGCUCCCGCAGACCAGUGGGCGUGGCGUCCUUGUCGCGGCUCUGUGGAGACCUGGCGAUGGAGAGCAGCAUGGCGGACCCCUGAUCUUGUGGCGUGCCACCGCGCGAGGCCGAGGAGCUCCCGCAGACCAGUGGGCGUGGCGUCCUUGUCGCGGCUCUGUGGAGACCUGGCGAUGGAGAGCAGCAUGGCGGACCCCUGAUCUUGUGGCGUGCCACCGCGCGAGGCCGAGGAGCUCCCGCAGACCAGUGGGCGUGGCGUCCUUGUCGCGGCUCUGUGGAGACCUGGCGAUGGUGAGCGGCCCCUGUCCUCAGUGGUGGAGAACUCGCCCUUGGGGCGCUCGUCGGUCCGGAGCCCCGGGCCACCCCCGCUUCUCGCGGGCU